rnacentral:rRNA from 1 species
GACGAACGCUGGCGGCGUGCCUAAUACAUGCAAGUCGAACGCAGUGGGGACGGGUGAGUAACACGUGGGUAACCUCCCAUCAGAGGGGAUAACACUUGGAAACAGGUGCUAAACCUAUACUGAUGGAUGGACCCGCGGUGCAUUAGCUCGUUGGUGCGGUAACGGCUCGCCAAGGCAACGAUGCCUAGCGGACGUGUGAGGGUGGUCAGCCACACUGGGACGGAGACACGGCCCAGACUCCUACGGUAGGCGGCAGUAGGGAAUCUUCGGCAAUGGACGAAAGUGUGACCGGGCAACGCCGCGUAAGUGAAGGAGGUUUUCGGAUCGUAAAACUCUGUUGUUAGAGAAGCGGUAUCUAACCAGAAAGCCACGGCUAACUACGUGCCAGCAGCCGCGGUAAUAC